UUAAAAACAGACAUAGUCUCACUGUUGUCCAGAUUGGAGUACAGUGACACAAUCAUAGCUCACUGCAGCCUCAAACUAAUGGGAUCAAGUGAUCCUCCUGCCUCAGCCUCCCAAGUAGCUAAGCCUACUGGCAUGCACUACUAUGCCCAGCUCACACAGAAGGUUUCUGAGUAAUCUGUUGCUCUUUUUCCCUACAAUUUGUCUUCCAUAUAACUCAAACUGACAAGGCUAUGGCUUACAUAAAGAAAUAUAUUAUAAAUCAACAACACUCAUGAUAAGUUUACAUAAGACAUGAGAAUACACCUGAAUCACCAACCGGGAAAAAUGAUUGAAGAGCUUGAAAUUAAGCCUAAGUGUAAGUCUCUGUUAAGCUUACAACAUUACAAUAGUUAAAUCGAAGGUUAGAAAGAAAAUGGUAGACAUUGCUCCUUUUCCUGUACCAUUUUUUGAAAAAGUAUUUUUGUAAUUACCAUCUGCAUACACCUGAGAGACUGUUUCUAACAUGUUUUGGUCAUUUUUAAUCAUUCUAUCUGCCUUUCUUUGUUAUAAGGAUCUAUUUUUAAUUUUAUUCACUCCUAACAUAGAGGGGAAGUGCAUACCUUCAAUGACGCAAAGUAACUAGUUAAUGUUGUUUCAGAAUAAUAUGCAAAAGGGAAGGGAGGAAACAGCACAAAGUAUAUCAUAUUUUUACACAUCAGACACCUUCAGGAAGAAAGGACAUUUCUCAUCUUAGUGUGACAGACUACCUGGCCAAUAUCCCCUUUGAACAUCUGCUUUCGCUGGUUGGUAAAAAAGUGUCAUUUUAAAUUUAGUGUUACUCCUUCAGGCUAUUCCCUCUCUCUUCUUACUUGCAGGGCCAAAGCAACGUCUCUUUCCACCUUGGUCACCUUCCAACAACGAUUUCUUCGGACGCCUUUGUUAAUCAUUC
rnacentral:lncRNA from 1 species